rnacentral:tRNA from 1 species
GCCUACUUAGCUCAGUGGCCAGAGCGUUGGUUUUCGGCUCCUCUUCCGAAUAUCGCCAACGGUCGCAGGUUCGACCCCUGUAGUAGGCU